UAUCAGUCCUUUGAUCCUGGUUCAUUCCUACCUGGCACAAUCUGUGUUCUGCUUUCUCUGCAUCUGUCUUCCUAUUUGACAGUGAACUUUGUGACUUCUAGAUCCAUAGAAUCCUGUUAACUUGCCAAUACUAAUUCUCUGUUUUUAACUUAGCUAUAUCUGGUUGUCAAUACAGUUUUAUUAUAAAGAACUAUAUUUAUGGCAGGAUACAGAAGAGAAACCCUGUACUUCCAAAACAUAGGGAACACUUGAAUGGCAUUUAUUUCUGCCAAUGAACUUGAGCUGGGGCCAAACAGUUAUACACAAGAAAGUUAUGCCGACCAUGAGCUUUUGUUGUCAGAGUUAUCCUCUCUCCUUUGCGUACUCAGACAUGUGCUAAGACUACCACUGCAUUGCUGAAGCAAUUUCAUUUCUCUGUGUAAUGCAUAGAUUGUUUCACACAGAUGCAAUUUUAUUUUUCUGGUCCAUUUCCUUCUCUAAGUAUAACAGGAAUGUGUGAGCCUCCCAGCCCUCCCCUGUGGGUGGAUGUUUUAACCUACACGAGUCAACUAGGAAGUUUGGUCUUCCUGCCUCUUUUGUAAAUAUCCUCUCUGGGCUCGCUGACAUUCUAGGUUUCUUGUCUGACACACUGGUUUCUGUGUCUCAGCACACUCAGGAACCCUGCUCUUCUUUCUCUUGGUGCCAAAGAGAAUGGGAUGAAGAAGACUCCUUUACUUCUUUACUUUUCCCCUUGCUCCCUUGGCCAUUUAGCCUCUUCAAUUGAAAAACAUCAGGUCAUGUGGCAUAUGUAAUAUUUAUCAAAAUACAACAAGAGCAAUAACUGGAAAAUUAAUACCAACAUUUAUUGAGCACUCACUAUUCACCUUUCACCAUGUUGGCUGCCCUCCUGGAUCUCAACAACUCUAUCAAUAUGUACCAUUAUUAUGCUUGUUUUCCAGGGGAGUAAACCAAGUUUGAGUUUGUUGAAGCCACUUGCCACAGGUAGAGCUAAGGGUUUAAUUUAGGCAGUUUCACCAAGGUUCAAGUUCUAAGUGGUCUGGGAUUUUCUUUUUUAUGUAUGAAGGAAUGACCAUAUGAGGCAGGCUUUCACAAUGUUUGUGUCCAUGUGCUGGACUUCUGUUGAUGCUCGAGAUCAUCUCUACAUUUCUCCAUUCUGCUUUGUACACCCAGAGAUUGGCCUUGGACUAGGUCAAUGGCUACCUUACACUUUGCCCUCAAGGGCAUUAACAGGAGAUUGGAGGGAGGAAGAGGAGAGGGGCCACCUCCCUCCUGCCUUGUCACUGACCGCUGGCUGAGUCCCCUAUUUCAGGUGCCAGGCUCCUGUCAAAUAGGUCUCUCCACUCAGCACUGUCGGUCUCUGGGUUCUGGUACCAUUUUCUCCUCUGCUUAGGAGUGGUAACACCUGCUGUGCUCUUGCCAGCACUUAUCUCUUGUGGUUUCCCUACACCCUGCCCACACCUUUGCAAAUAGAUCCUUUAUUAAACUCUCCUUGAAUAUCCCUGUUAGGAGCAUACCAUUUGUUUCUUACUGGGAUCCUAACUGAUCCAGUCCCUGUGGGCAUUCGCCCAUCCCUGACCUGGUUCCUCCUUCGGUCCACCCCCUCUGCCCUGUCACAUGGCCCCUGGGUAAACUCUGCUCUGAAGCUUCCACAGAAGGAGAAUAUUCAACUCUGGUCUUUCUUGAGUCCUGCAGUGUCAGCCAUAGGCCUUAUUAACUGAUUACACCUCUCACGGACAUACGUAAUUAUUUUCUCAGUGACAGCAUGGCCUACCUUCAUCUGAAGAAAGAUAUUUCUCUUAUCACCAGGGCCGUGGCUCAGACCUACAGAAAUAAUGGGUCUUAUUAUUGUGCCUAAAACCAUCAGAUUAAGAUUUUUUUCUGCUCUCUUUGUGGCCCUAGAAGCAUGAACAGAAGCCUGUAAUACUUUUUAGUGGCUCCCUGGAGAAUGUGACCAACUGCGAUAAAAUUAUUUUGAUUCAGAAUUUGGAGGUGGGGAUUCAGAGAUGCUCACCAGUUCUUUGUCAUUCACAAGUAAAUGGAGAUGAGCAAUUUGGCUUCUCUGGUAAUGUCUUUCUGCUUCACCUCCCCCACCAAAUUCUGAAUAUAAGAGUAAAUAUGCAGUCCUAGGAAAGAUCUUCAGAGAUGUACCUAAUUCGUAUUUGAAGGGUCAAAAAUCUUUUUACAGGCAGUUACAGGUGAUGGCCGGGGGUUUCCUUGGUGGAGGGAACAGUCUGUGCAAAGACACGGAGGCAGGAGAAAGCAUGGGAAAUGUGGGAAACCUAAUACAGUCCUGCACGAAUCCCAGGGCUUAUACAGUUCAGACAUCCUCAGAUAACAAGGGCGAGAGGUCAGAUGUGAUGUCAGUAAGGCCACAUGGGUUGGACACAGCUAACAUCUGUUUUGGUUGGUUAGUGUCACCCCUGCACAGAUAUAUAUGCACACACAUUUAAUGUAUGCUAUGUAGGUAUUUUUGUUCCUGGGCCCUUGCUUUACAAGGUUAUGUCUUUAAUAGUACUCCUGCUCUUUGAGUUCUGGAUUUCUAACUCGAUUACUGUAUUCUCACGAACCAUUUAAGAUGACCUCUUCCCCCCUGGCAGUCUAAAGUGAUUUUUCCAUCCAUGUCAUCUCUGAGGCUUCUUGAACCUUCCUUUUCAGCUGUCAGAAUGAGUUCCCCUUAAGGGUCUUUGAAGAACUCUCUUCAGACUUUUCUGCUUGGAGGAAAUUCCUUUUAAGUUUCAGAAGAUGGCUGGCUGUAUUAAAAGAAGUGCUGGAAUGUUUGAAGACUGUUCCAGAAUUUGUGGGUUCAUUUUAGUUUUAAUUUUAGCCCUUGAAUUACGUCUGUAAUAUACACCAGUUUGCAAGAAUAGCAGAUAUCCCAGCUGACUUCUGUGGCAGGCACUAGUGUUCUUCCUAUCUGCUGCUCUCGGAGCCAAACAGCUGUGCUUUGAAUCUGCUCAGCAGGCACCUGCUGUGUCUGUAGCCCCGUAGAACGUUUUCCUGCCUCGAUGCCACACCUGGAAGCCCAGAGUGUCACUGGACAAGCCAAACUAGGUUGAUGCAUACCACAGAAAAGUCUGUCAUCGCCCCUUCCUAGACACACCUGGAACUCACAGAUAUCUGUAUAGCUGUGUAUGAAGACAUCCCCUAACAUAGGACAGCAACUAGAUAGAAUGGGCCCUCAACAUGAGCAUUGUUUGACUGCAGUAUGAAUACAUAGAGAAAGAUCGAAUGGUUGCUGAUGCAUGAGGAUUUUCAAGGAGAAAGAAAUGAAGAAAGGAAAGGAAUAACACCUCGGAGGUGUCUGUGAACUAUGUGCAUAAAAAUAGUAAUCCACAUGUCCACUCUACAUCUUCAUUACUUUUGAUGAUUGAGAAUUGAAUAUACAUGACCAGAGAUUCUCCACCUGCAUAGACACAUGAGGCAGUCUGCAAGCAAGGAAGAGAGGUCUCAGCAGAAACGACACUGCUAGCACCUUGAUCUUGAACUUCUAGCCUCUGGCACUGUGAGCAAUAAAUGUCUAUUGUUUAAACCAUAAAGUCUGUGGUAUUCUGUUAUGGCAAACCUAACAGAUUAAUGCAGAUGCCUGUCCAGUUAAACUCUCCAUCCCCUGUAGCACUGUCCUCAUUGCCCCUUUUCUCUAAGUUGGUAGCAAGUGGGCCACAAAACCCUGCCCCCUGAGCACAGCCAUAUCCCUGCUGUUCACACUUGAUCCAAGCUUGUCCAACAGACUCACUCUUGUGGGAAUUUGAAGCAAGGACUCAGAAGCUCUAGUUAGUUUUGAUGAGAUGACUUAACAGAGAGAGAAUUUGACACUUAGGCUGUGGUGACCUUGUACAUCUGACCCAGAGAAAGUAGGUCUUUUGGGAGAAAGAAAACAAUAAAGCUGAUGUGAAAAGAGAAGAAGUAAAAAUUAAAGAGAGUGGAGUGACCUUGCUUAUGGACUUUAUAGUUUUGUCUUUCAGUUUCUUGAGAGAUCCUGCUCAAGCUUUGUACUUGAUUUUCAUAAAAUAGUUUUGAUUCCUUAUAAAAAUUCCUCUUUAUUCAUCUAUUUCUACGCAGCUUCUGUUUCUUACAACCUAAAGAUUUCUUAAUAAGCCAUAUGGGAACAUGUAUAAUUAAGGCCUAAAGCAUGAAUUAAGUAGAAAUCCCAUAAUAAACAGAAGGUCAAUUCAUUAAAUUUUCUAAUCAUUCUCCCUUGCUGUGAAAAUAAUAGGAAUUUUAUUUUUAACCCAUGACAAUUAU